rnacentral:misc_RNA from 1 species
GAUGAAGAACGUAGCGAAAUGCGAUACUUGGUGUGAAUUGCAGAAUCCCGUGAACCAUCGAGUCUUUGAACGCAAGUUGCGCCCGAAGCCAUUAGGCCGAGGGCACGCCUGCAUGGGCGUCACACGUCGUUGCCCCCCCAUCUACUCCUUCGGGAUUGCGGGGGGCGGAUGAUGGCCUCCCGUGCGCCUCGUCGCGCGGUUGGCAUAAAUGCCAAGUCCUCGGCGACGCACGCCACGACAAUCGGUGGUUGCGAAACCUCGGUUGCCCGUCGUGUGCGGUCGUCGCGCAUCGAGGGCUCGAAAAAAUUGCCGGGCUCCGGCUCGGCUUUCAACGCGACCCCAGGUCAGGCGGGGUUACCCGCUGAAUUUAAGCAUAUCAAUAAGCGGAGGA